CCUUCGAUAGCUCAGCUGGUAGAGCGGAGAUCUGUAGAUCCUUAGGUCGCUGGUUCCAUUCCAGCUCGAAGGA